rnacentral:rRNA from 1 species
CCUACGGGGGGCAGCAGUGAGGAAUAUUGGUCAAUGGGCGCGAGCCUGAACCAUCCAAGUCGCGUGAGGGAAGACGGUCCUAUGGAUUGUAAACCUCUUUUGUCGAGGAGCAAAAGACGGCACGCGUGGCGUUCCGAGAGUACCCGAAGAAAAAGCAUCGGCUAACUCCGUGCCAGCAGCCGCGGUAAUACGGAGGAUGCGAGCGUUAUCCGGAUUUAUUGGGUUUAAGGGGUGCGCAGGCGGAAGCUUAAGUCAGCGGUAAAAUCGGGAGGCUCAACCUCUUCGAGCCGUUGAAACUGGUUGUCUUGAGUGGGUGAGAGGUAUGCGGAAUGCGUGGUGUAGCGGUGAAAUGCUUAGAUAUCACGCAGAACUCCGAUUGCGAAGGCAGCAUACCGGCGCUCAACUGACGCUCAUGCACGAAAGUGUGGGUAUCGAACAGGAUUAGAUACCCGUGUAGUC